rnacentral:tRNA from 1 species
CACUAGAUGACUGAAAGUAAGUAAUGGUCUCUUAAACCACAAAAUAGUAAAUUAACAAUUACUUCUAGUGA